rnacentral:rRNA from 1 species
AUGAUGGGAAAGGUCUCCAGCCGGAAAUCAAAGGCGUCCAAUGCUAAUGCUAGAGACCUUAAAAAUCUUGUAGGGCGCAAGAUAAAAUGCCCAAAUUGUCUUACUAUGUAUUUCACUCCAGAUUUCCUUAACACUCAUCCUAUCUAUCCUAACCAAGACCUGAAUUUCCAUGUUCCACUUGUUCGUCAAAUGUUUCUGCUUCACAACUCGCUUGGUGAAGCCUAUCCCCCAAACUGCACUGUAGGCUACGACACCUCAUGCUUCAGAAUGGAUUAUGGACAGUGGAUGUACCAAUCACAUGACUGGUGA